rnacentral:rRNA from 1 species
AGGAUGAACGCUGGCGGCGUGCUUAACACAUGCAAGUCACGGGGGUUUGAGGCGCAAGCCUUGGGCAACCGGCGAACGGGUGCGUAACACGUGAGCAACCUACCGAAAUGAGGGGGAUAGCCGGCCCAACGGCCGGGUAAUACCGCAUACGCUCGAGACCAGGCAUUUGGACUCGAGGAAACCUCCGGGGCAUUUCGAGGGGCUCGCGGCCUAUCAGCUAGUUGGUGAGGUAACGGCUCACCAAGGCGACGACGGGUAGCUGGUCUGAGAGGAUGGCCAGCCACAUUGGGACUGAGAUACGGCCCAGACUCCUACGGGAGGCAGCAGUGGGAAUCUUGCGCAAUGGCCUAACGGCUGACGCAGCGACGCCGCGUGAGGAUGACGCUCGUUCGGAGUGUAAACCUUCGUUUUGCCGUGGACGAAUUGCCAGCAUCAGCUGGCGUUGACGGUUACCGGUGAAGUAACGCGACCGGUCUAACUCCGUGCCGAAGCAGCCGCGGUAAUCGUAGA